GGGUCAGUAGGUUGGUCGUGCCACCGGUACGUACUGGUCUAACUGAUUCCUCCUUCCUGAAGAACCGUAAUGCCAUUAAUUUGGUGUUGCGGGGAAACAGGACUGUUACUUUGAAAAAAUUAGAGUGUUUAAAGCAAGCUAACGAUUGAAUACAUUAGCAUGGAAUAAUGAAAUAGGACGAUCGAUGCUAUUUUGUUGGUUUCUAGGAUUGACGUA
rnacentral:rRNA from 1 species